CAGGGUUCCCUUGUAACAUUUCUCAUCAAAGAGUGUUCUAUGGGGAAGAGAUAAAACCUAAACAGUCCAGGAAGCUGAGAUAAGAAACUGCAAAAAAAAAAAAAAAAAAUGAGCAACAAGAUAAUAUAAGUCACCACUGAGCCAAUUAAGGAGCAGGAGAUGCAGCAGCAUGUCCCAAACAAAACUGAUUGGAGGUCAAGUGUGGACAACCAGAGCAAGUUCUUGCACAGCUAAUGUAUCCCCAGGUGUGAACCGAGUAACAUGAAGAAAGGCAUCCUCCUGCCACCUCCUGAAUCAGUAGAAAAAGACAAAAGCUUUUGAUGGGAUUAUGCUGAAUUCAAUGUCAUGGAACCAAACUGGAAAUUUUCUGGCACGAUUUUAAGCGUUUUGCAUAAACUCUAAUUCACUGAAAUGUAACAACCUUAUAAGGUAGGGACUAUCAUUACAUUUUCCAAUUACAAUGUUUUAAAAUAAAAAAAUUGACAAGUAUA